CCUACGGUGGGCAGCAGUGGGGCAUAUUGGUCAAUGGGCGCAAGCCUGACCCAGCAACGCCGCGUGAAGGAAGAAGGCUUUCGGGUUGUAAACUUCUUUUGUCAGGGACGAAGCAAGUGACGGUACCUGACGAAUAAGCCACCUCUAACUACGCGCCAGCAGCCGCGGUAAAACGUAGGUGGCAAGCGGUAUUCGGAUUUACUGGGUGUAAAGGGCGUGUAGGCGGGGAAGCAAGUCAGAUGUGAAAACCACGGGCUCAACCUGUGGCCUGCAUUUGAAACUGUGUUUCUUGAGUGCUGGAGAGGCAAUCGGAAUGCCGUGUGUAGCGGUGAAAUGCGUAGAUAUACGGAGGAACACCAGUGGCGAAGGCGGAUUGCUGGACAGUAACUGACGCUGAGGCGCGAAAGCGUGGGGAACAAACAGGAUUAGAUACCCCUGUAGUC
rnacentral:rRNA from 1 species